GUUUCCGGCCGGACGGUCGCGUCGCGGGUUUCCGCGCCGAGGAAAGUCCGGGCUCCAUGGGUAGGCUGCCAGGUAACGCCUGGGCACGCAGCGAUGCGUGACGGACAGUGCAACAGAGAACAGACCGCCUUCACUUCGGUGGAGGUAAGGGUGAAACGGUGGGGUAAGAGCCCACCGCGUUCGUGGUAACAUGAACGGCAUGGCAAACCCCAGCUGGAGCAAGGCCGAAUAAGCGGUGAGAAGCGACCCUCUUCGAUCAAGACACCGCGGGUUGGCCGCUAGAAGGCGUGGGUGACCACGUCUCGAGAGAAAUGACCGUCCGGAAUUCACGUUCCGACAGGACCCGGCUUAUAGGUCGGAAACACUC
rnacentral:RNase_P_RNA from 1 species